CCUACGGGAGGCAGCAGUGAGGAAUAUUGGUCAAUGGGCGGGAGCCUGAACCAGCCAAGUCGCGUGAGGGAAGACGGUCCUAUGGAUUGUAGACCUCUUUAGGCGGGGAGCAAUGCCGGGCACGCGUGCCCGGAGGGAGAGUACCCGCAAAAUAAGCAUCGGCUAACUCCGGGCCGGCAGCCGCGGUAAUACGGAGGAUGCGAGCUUUAUCCGGAUUUUUUGGGUUUAAAGGGUGCGUAGGCGGGUUUUUAAGUCAGCGGUAAAAUGUCCGGGCUCAACCCGGGCCGGCCGUUGAAACUGGGGAUCUUGAGUGGGCGGGAAGUAUGCGGAAUGCGCGGUGUAGCGGUGAAAUGCAUAGAUAUCACGCAGAACUCCGAUUGCGAAGGCAGCAUACCGGCGCCCGACUGACGCUGAGGCACGAAAGCGUGGGGAUCGAACAGGAUUAGAUACCCUUGUAGUC
rnacentral:rRNA from 1 species